AGUACCAUGCUGUUCAUAUUGUAUUGGAAAGUAACGCAGCAAUACAAGUAAGAGUGACAAUAAUCGAACAUGGAAUUGCUUCUUUCAGUUGAGUAAAAUAAAAAAAUUAUAGAGAUAUGCUUGGACUGACUGUGUGCAAGACACGGCAACAAAAUUUGAAUGUGCAACAAAACACACAAGACAGCAACAAGCGUAAUCGGAAUUCGAAUUGAACCAACGACCUAAUCACGAACCAGUAUGAAACACGAACGGCAACCUCGAAGCUUGACGGAACUUGGGGCCUUUUAUUUGACAGUUGAUUUUGCUGCUUUCUUGGCUUGUUUUCGUUGCUGAUUUUCAGCUUUCCAUCCCAGAAAAUGGGGUGCAAUUGGAUGUUCUAGUUUUGAAGAUGCUGGAGAUGGUCAGGCAUGAUGGGGAGGUCGUUUGGGUGAGGAAGGAAGAAGAUGAGAUCGUGAGAAGGGGGCCCGGGGGUCUGAUUUUCGACACAACUUUUCAGAUUAUCGG
rnacentral:lncRNA from 1 species